rnacentral:rRNA from 1 species
UACAGAGGGUGCGAGCGUUAAUCGGAUUUACUGGGCGUAAAGGGCUCGUAGGCGGCCAACUAAGUCGGACGUGAAAUCCCUCGGCUUAACCGGGGAACUGCUUCCGAUACUGGAUGGCUAGAGUGUGGGAGAGGGAUGCGGAAUUCCAGGUGUAGCGGUGAAAUGCGUAGAUAUCUGGAGGAACACCGGUGGCGAAGGCGGCAUCCUGGACCACGACUGACGCUGAGUGAGCGAAAGCCAGGGGAGCAAACGGG